rnacentral:rRNA from 1 species
AACGAACGCUGGCGGCAUGCCUAACACAUGCAAGUCGAACGAGACCUUCGGGUCUAGUGGCGCACGGGUGCGUAACGCGUGGGAACCUGCCUUUAGGUUCGGAAUAACUCAGAGAAAUUUGAGCUAAUACCGGAUGACGUCUUCGGACCAAAGAUUUAUCGCCUUUAGAUGGGCCCGCGUUGGAUUAGCUAGUUGGUGGGGUAAAGGCCUACCAAGGCGACGAUCCAUAGCUGGUCUGAGAGGAUGAUCAGCCACACUGGGACUGAGACACGGCCCAGACUCCUACGGGAGGCAGCAGUGGGGAAUAUUGGACAAUGGGCGAAAGCCUGAUCCAGCAAUGCCGCGUGAGUGAUGAAGGCCUUAGGGUUGUAAAGCUCUUUUACCCGAGAUGAUAAUGACAGUAUCGGGAGAAUAAGCUCCGGCUAACUCCGUG